AAGCUCUUCGGAGUGGAUUAGUGGCGAACGGGUGAGUAACACGUGGGAAAUCUGCCCUGCACUCUGGGACAAGCCUUGGAAACGAGGUCUAAUACCGGAUAUGACCUUCCUCUGCAUGGGGGUUGGUGGAAAGCUCCGGCGGUGCAGGAUGAUCCCGCGGCCUAUCAGCUUGUUGGUGGGGUAAUGGCCUACCAAGGCGACGACGGGUAGCCGGCCUGAGAGGGCGACCGGCCACACUGGGACUGAGACACGGCCCAGACUCCUACGGGAGGCAGCAGUGGGGAAUAUUGCACAAUGGGCGAAAGCCUGAUGCAGCGACGCCGCGUGAGGGAUGACGGCCUUCGGGUUGUAAACCUCUUUCAGCAGGGAAGAAGCGCAAGUGACGGUACCUGCAGAAGAAGCACCGGCUAACUACGUGCCAGCAGCCGCGGUAAUACGUAGGGUGCGAGCGUUGUCCGGAAUUAUUGGGCGUAAAGAGCUCGUAGGCGGCUUGUCGCGUCGGUUGUGAAAGCCCGGGGCUUAACCCCGGGUCUGCAUUCGAUACGGGCAGGCUUGAGUGUGGUAGGGGAGAUCGGAAUUCCUGGUGUAGCGGUGAAAUGCGCAGAUAUCAGGAGGAACACCGGUGGCGAAGGCGGAUCUCUGGGCCAUUACUGACGCUGA
rnacentral:rRNA from 1 species